UACAGGGGGUGCAAACGUUGCUCGGAAUCAUUGGGAGUAAAGCGCACGUAGGCGGGUCGGUAUGUCGGAUGUGAAAGCCCUUGGCUUAACCGAGGAAGUGCAUCCGAAACUGGCGAGCUAGAGUACGAAAGAGGAUCGCGGAAUUCCCGGUGUAGAGGUGAAAUUCGUAGAUAUCGGGAGGAACACCGGUGGCGAAGGCGGCGAUCUGGGUCGAUACUGACGCUGAGGUGCGAAAGCGUGGGGAGCAAACAGG
rnacentral:rRNA from 1 species